AGUGAACGCUGGCGGUAGGCCUAACACAUGCAAGUCGAACGGCAGCACAGUAAGAGCUUGCUCUUACGGGUGGCGAGUGGCGGACGGGUGAGGAAUACAUCGGAAUCUACUUUUUCGUGGGGGAUAACGUAGGGAAACUUACGCUAAUACCGCAUACGACCUACGGGUGAAAGCAGGGGAUCUUCGGACCUUGCGCGAUUGAAUGAGCCGAUGUCGGAUUAGCUAGUUGGCGGGGUAAAGGCCCACCAAGGCGACGAUCCGUAGCUGGUCUGAGAGGAUGAUCCGCCACCAUGGAACUGAGACACGGUCCAGACUCCUACGGGAGGCAGCAGUGGGGAAUAUUGGACAAUGGGCGCAAGCCUGAUCCAGCCAUACCGCGUGGGUGAAGAAGGCCUUCGGGUUGUAAAGCCCUUUUGUUGGGAAAGAAAAGCAGCAGGUUAAUACCCCGCUGUUCUGACGGUACCCAAAGAAUAAGCACCGGCUAACUUCGUG
rnacentral:rRNA from 1 species